GAGAUUCCCAGCUCAGGUGGGAGAAUCUGUUCAGCGGUCAGUCGUUCACUCUAAACCUGUUCUUUAAAAGUGGCGACUAAACUGCUGAAGAAAAGACAAAGUAAGUCCUAUUUGCAGUUUUUCAUCAAGCUAUCAAGGGGAUAAAGCAAAAAUGUGCAAGUAAGAAAUUGUUCUGCUCAGAAAACACCCCAAAAACAUGGCGGUGGCAGCAUCAUGCUAAUCAUAUGUUAAAAUGGCCCAGUCAAAGUCCAGAAUCUAUAGCAAAAUUUGAAAAUCAACUUUUACAGAUCCUCUCCAGAGAUUUCUUCAUGUUGGUCUUUCAAUAAAAAAUAAAAUUCUUCGCAGUCAGCGGUUGUGAAACUCAGUGGAGCUCUGAUUGGCCGCCGGGAGCAUGUGACCGCGGUGUGCGAACACGAACCUCAACAUCAGCAGCUCCAAUCCAUGCGCACUCCCACAGCAUCUAUUUAUAUCUGGGGUGAGACAUGCUGAACGUUAUUACUGAGUAAUUAAAUCUGUGUGUUCAUGCAUGACUCCUGUGGCACAUGGAGUCAAACGUGCUGCUGUGACCCAUCAGCUGGGAAAAAAACUAAAAAUAAAUGUAAAUAGAAACAGAGGGUUAAGUGACGCAGCCGUGCCACCUCGUCUGGGGAUAAUAAAUCAGGAUUUUCCCUCUUUCGGCUCCUAAAAUAGCUCACAAACUCAGGAGGAGCGCAGUCAAACUGCAGAAACGGAGCUGGAGUUCAAAUGAAGCCGCACCAGAAUAAAAACAGGUUGCCAUGGCGACUCCAGGGUAGUACUCACCAGUUGCCAAGGCGAGUCUCCACGCGAGCGCAGCCUCCCUCCCACUGCGAUGUGAUGGAUUGUGUACUGGAAGCGGGGAUUUGUGUUGCCUUUUGUUGCUUUUUUUUACAUUGAAAAACUGACAUGCAGUGUUGCUCAU